CAUAUCAUAUUGAAAAACCGGUCCGCGUACGAUCACCGAAGUUAAGCAACGUCAGUCCAGGUCAGUACCUAAAUGGGUGACCGCUUGGGAAAACAAGGUGCUGUAAG